CACGUCGAUGAUGUAUCCUCAGCGUACAUAAUGUCACUGCUGAGGUACUUCUUUUACGUGUA
rnacentral:pre_miRNA from 1 species